rnacentral:lncRNA from 1 species
GCUCACUGAAUGAAAUGAAUCACUGGUGGCAAGAGUCACCUGCCGGCACUGGGGCUGAGCUCUCUCUACUUUCUCCAAGAACCAAGGUGUGGCCAUUGAAUGGCUUUUGUGGAAACUUUCCAUGAGGGAAACUUUCCAGUUGCUCCCUCCCCAGGAGGCCUGGAGUUUUAUCCCGGCCUUAAAGAUUACGUGAGCGGUGGAGCUUGGCCGAGGAGCCCUUCCCGGCAGUGCCAUCGCCGACUGCCCCAGGCUGCCACCGCGCAGCUCUUGCUGAUUUUAUGGCUGCUGAGUCAUGACGGCCAGCACGCUCCUUCACGCAGACGCCCCUGCAACCUCCUAGGGAAGGGACGGCCCCUCCUGCAAGCCAGCGCCUGCGGUGGCACUGCAUGUGUGCACCAGUCAAGUAUGUCAACGGCUCAGCCCCAGCUCCUCAACCCCGAGGGGGAGCAUUUGGAGCGCAGGCCCUUCUUGGGCCUCAAAGGUCUGCCUCCCUGAGGCCAGAGGGACAGAUUCCAGCAGCUGCAGAAACCUGCCCCUCCUCUGCAGCUGCUCCUGGCACCCCUCCCUGCUCGCCCUUGCUCAUCGUCCAUGCCCAUAGGAAAGGGCGAGGAGGCUGACAGUGGCCACCAGCCACUGGGCAUGGAUCCGAAGCCAGAGGCGUGGAGAAGCCUGAGGACGUGGUGAUCUUGGUGAAGUGCUGAGCCACAGAGCCUUGCCAGUCUCCCGUGGGCCACCAGGAUGAUAAUACCCACCACCCAGGGUCGCAGAGGGGGCCAGACAAGCCAAGCCCAGGUCCCAGGCCAAGGCUGUUGGGCCUUCUUGAUGCCUGGUCGCCAUCUAGUGCUCAAAAAGAGUAACUGAAUGUCCCCCAUUGCAAACAGCAGGUGCCUCCUGGAACGCAGGCCAGGAGAGGACGCGGAUUUCGUCCAGCCUCAGAGCGCCCGUUUGAGGAAUCCCUUCGAAAGGCCCCAGAUCCAAGCUGGGACUCCUCGCUGCAUUUGGACAACUCUACAUGUGAGAGCCCUACUCCCCGUGGCAGUCCAGGCCUUUGCACACCUAGCAUGACGUUUCACCCAGAGUUCCCCAAGAUGAACCGCAGCAAGCAACAUAAGGGACAGAGAAGGGCUGGGCCUGACUCUGGUGUAAGUGUGGCUGGUGAGGAGUCACCGCGCCAGGCGUCCAUCGUCCUGUCUUGUCUGUUUAUUAGCACGUCCUAUAUCUGGAAAUGGAAAGGUAACAAUAAUACAGAUUCCUCCCCACAGGAGAGAGGCCAGGCCAGAAAAAGAGAAGGGUAGAGCCAACUGCUGGGUGGUGGGGAGGGAUAGGCCUGGGAAGCUUUAAACCCAAAGGCCAGGAUGCCACCCAGACUGCAAACCCAGCACCGUGCCAGCCCACCGAGUGCUGCAGAGGCUCCUGUUGUGUGGUUGCACCUGGAGGGUGGAGUCACCCCUGAACCUGGGGGGAUGUCAAGACCACCGCCUGGGACUUUUCAGGGAGAUGAGCAUGGUGCCAUCCAUCCCAGGUUCUUGAGCGAAGGUAGGGGCAGCGGAUGCCACUUUGGCUUUUGCUGCUCUCAGGAGUGAGCCAGGUUGGGGGUUCCUGCACAUGGGCCAGGACCUGAACUCCCCCCAGGCACCAAGGGAGGGGCCAGCCAUGUUCUCAUCCCCCCUGCCUGAUGUGGGCCAGUGGGAGGGGGAGGGCGGUUCAAAGCCGCCAGUGCCAAACAUCAAAAGUGGACUGUGUCUGCCAGCUUUUUUGUGGCUGUGACCAAAAGACCUGACAAGAGCCACACAGAGGAGGAGAAGUCGAUUUUGGCUCAUGGUUUCAGAGGUUCUGUCCACACUGGGCCAACCUCAUAGCUCUGGGCCGGAGGUGACGCAGCACAUCAUGGCAGGUGGGCGUGGAGGAGGAAAGGAGCUCGGACACGGCAGCCAGGAAGCAGAGGGAGUAAAUGCUCCACUCACCAAGGACAAGAUAAAACCCCAAAGCACACCACCAGUGACCUACUUCCUCCAGCCACAGCCCGCCUGGCUACCUGACCAUCCCGUUAGUGCACGUCAGCGGAUCAGGUUCACAACCCCGUAAUCCAAUCAUGUCAUCUCGGGAUGUCCUUGUGUUGACUUUUGGGGGAUGCCAUGUACCCAACCAUAACAUGGAGUCUUUCUCUUUAUUCCAUUCCCCCAGAUCAUUUCAAUGGGCAACUGAGACUGAGGCCACUGAUCAGGAUGACCAGUGUUUCCCCAAAGAAAAGAAUAUCUGAGGUGACCUCUAGAGUGCAGACUCUUAGGCUCUGACCAGUCCCACUGAAAGAGCAUUUCAGGGUGAGGCUGGGGGUCGGUGCAUCUGUCCAGGGGGCUCUGAUCAUCUGAGAGGGUUCGGAAGCCCAGCUCGACGCUGCUGGCCACAGGAAGGCUUGCUUCUGCCGUGAGCCCUCUUCCACUUUACCCAGGUGUGAAGGAGGAGUGGGGAGUGCUCACGUUCACUUCCAGGUGAGGAGCCGGGACCUCAGAGACAUCAGAGGGACCCAAGAAGCUGCCACUUGGUGACCUGGAGACAGCUUCUGAGCCAGACUCCCCGUGGUACUGGAUGGAGUGUUGAGUCCACACUUACUUGUUCCUUCACGGAGCAUUUCAGGUCCUAUGUGAACAACCCCAAGAGGCCAUGCCCUACUUAGGGACAUGGAAUUGGCUCUCGUGGUGGCCAGGCUUAGCGCCAUGACCCAGAUACCGUGCAGGUGACCCCGGCAGAGCAGACACAGCCAGCUGGUCUCCUUUGUACUAGGGCUUUCUUGUGCAGCCUGUGGGGACCACCAGUGUCCUUGUGACCAGCUGUCCCCUGGUCACCAGCAGCCCUGCUGGGCCUGGGGGAUUCCAGAAGAGAGUCCCUCUCACCUUCUGAGCUUGUGCUGCCCACCUGUAGGCUGUGUGCUCUGGGCUGUGAGUCUCACGAUUUGCAAGCUGGUAAUGACAAAGAUGGUCUCCCUGGCCAGACUCCAGUCAGCCUUCGGAACAUUCCUGUAUAUGGUUUGAAUAUACAGAGUCCCCAGAAGCUAUGUGAAAACAAUGUUCAGAGGUUAAACGAUCACACUAUGAAACCUUGACCUGAUUGCUGGAUUAAUCCAUUUGGUGGAUUAGUAAUUUGGAAGGAGGCCUGGGCUGGGUGGUGACCAUGGGCAGGGGGGGCGUGGAUGCAGAGGUGGGUGGCUGGGUCAUGCCCUUGGGACUGUGUCCUGUGUCCCUGGCUCCUCCCUCUCCCCUUCCCAGCCAGCGUCAGCUGAGUAGACACCCUCUCUCAAGCCCUUCGCCACAUGUUCUGCCUCGUCUCGGGCCCAGAGCAUCGGAGUUGGCCGACCAGGGGAUGAAACCUCUGAAACAGUCGCCCCAAAGGAACAGCAUCUUGUGGUUCUUGCUGGGUAUUUUGGUGGCAGCAACUAGCUAGUGCACUUCGCAAGGCCCGUCUGUGUGCUUCCCUGUAAAUCCAGUUUCCCGUGAACCCUGCCAAGUCACUUAGCCAAGAACCUCCUGCCAGUGGCUGACCCGGCUCAAGGUCUGACUCAGCUCCUCAUCCUGCACCAUCCCCGGGUGGUGUCUGACCCCCUGGCCCGUCCCGAGCAGGAACCUGUGAGGCCGCUUAACCAGCACCCCCCUAACUCCCGACAACUCCUCUUAGGAGCGCUCUGUCCUCUGACCCACCCUGUCCCUCAGAUACUUCCCCACUGUCCACGCUGCAUUCAGAGGUGAGCCCACUCUCUCCCCGACUGAGACGUCCCAAUGCCAUGGACCUGUCACCACGGUUCUGAAGAGCCUUCCUCGCCAUUCUCAAGGUUUCCAGCCAGUGACUGUCUAAUCAAUAGACACCACUCAGAAAAGCUGCAGCCUCCCGUCAGGCAGAGUAAGGAGGUGGACUCGCCACACCAGCCUCCCCGCAGCACUCCGCUCCUGUGGUCCCAGCCUGGUCACACAGGGACCACGGGAUUUGGGGAGCAUGAGGAUAGAGAGCACCAGGCCCAUAAGCAACCACUGCAGACGCGCUUCUGCAGAGCAGGACGUUUCCGACAGGACGACACUCGCUCAGCCCAGGAAACAAAACACAUUCCUGAGGAGACUGCUCAUGGGGCCGCCGGCAGGCGCGUGGGUGCCCACGAAUCCACACGUGGUCCUGGGCACUGUGCAAGGGCAGGGACGAAUGAUGGCACCGGGGACACUGUUUAUAAGAUAAGGACCACAACACCUUUUCGUAUUUGUAAGGAAUUAUAAUUUAGCCAGGUUGGGCACACAUUUUUGAAACCAUCUUUUUAAAAAGUUAAGUGUUAUUAUAUGACCCAGUGAUCCUGCUCCCUACCCAGGAAAAAUGAGAGUAUACAUCCACAGGAAGACCUGGGACAGAAGACCCAGAACAGCAGGGUGCAUUAGAGUAGCUCUUCCGAAACAGGGCAGGGGUCUCUGGUGGGGUUCCUAGGAGCACGCCUGAGUCAGGGAUUCGGGUGCCCAUGAUACAUGGACAGGGUGCCUUUUGGUGACCCCCGUAUGAAAGGAAGGAUGUAGGACAGAGAAGGGGAGGAGCUAAGCAAGAAUGUGUGCUCAGAUAAAGUCCAGUCUGGGUUUAAUCCCUGUGGUGGGGUGUGUGUGUGAACAUAAAAUGCUCCAUAGAAUUGUCCCAUCUGGAGGCAAGGGGACAAGGCUUUACAGUCUCUGCAUCGAGCCAGCUCUCAUGUAGCUGGGGGACAGGGGCUCCAAUAGGUAUAGGGACUCCAGCAGUUUCCGCCUCUCUCAAACUACAUGAAAACUGAGGCAAACAAAUAGGAUAAAAAUGAUAUCCUUCCCAGUCCAUAGACACCCCUUAAAUAGUCCCAAAGCAUUAGGAUGUAAUCACCCAGGGUCAAGGAGAGGCUGAAUCCUGAGAUGGUCCCAAUGACCCCACCUCUGAUUCCUGUCCUCAUCAGUAUCCCCUCUCCUGGGUCCCAGGACUUGUGACUUGUUUCCAGUCAAAAGAAUAUAUCAGAAGUGGUGGAUCGGGAAGGUCACUUUCUUGAGUAGGUUACGGUAUUUAAGAGCCUAUCUUGGCAGACUAGAGAGGAGGGAUUCUCCUGUGUCCUUGAGGAAGCAGCCAACUGUGUUGUAAAAGGCCCACGAGAGGCACACGUGGCAGGGAGCUGAGAGCGCCCCCUGCUGGUAGCAGCCAGAAAACAGAAACCCCAGCCCCAGUGUCACUGGGUUAGUUCAGCCAACCAUGGGAAGAGAGGGGGCUUAGAAGCAGAUCCCCCCCAGUGGAGGAUCUAGAGAAGAACACAUCACAGUCAACACCUCAGCAAGUCACCUCCAGACUCCUGACCCUUGGAAACUGGAAGAUGACGACCGCCUUGCUUUAAACUGCUAAGCUUCAAUUUGAUAGACAGCAAAGGAAAAUUAAUAUGGGGCGACACUGAGUAUUGGGCUAAAUGUGUGAUUCAUGGAAUGAUUAACAUUUAUGUAUGCUUAAAUAUAUUCCAGAAAUGCAAGGACUAUUAUUACACCUGUAGGAAAAGGGAUUAGAAAGCGAUUGUCUAGUGCAGCGUAAUGAAUUCACUGAACAACAUGUAAUUAAAUGCAGCCAAGUUCAAUCUGGGACUCUUUACAAGACUUCAAGCAUAUCAUUUCUGGCAGACAUCGGUAUAUAACAAAUCAUAAUUUAUCAAGCUACAAAGACAUUUUGAUUCUCUAAUUUGUUAAUAAAAUCCCCCAUUUCACAUCUCAAAUAA